rnacentral:sRNA from 1 species
GGUGAACCUGCGGAAGGAUCAUUACAGAGUUCAUGCCCUUCUGGGUAGAUCUCCACCCUUGUAUAUAUAACUGUCUGUUGCUUUGGCGGAUUAUUCCGGGCUGUUAACUCGUCCGGAUGGCCGCCAGAGGACCCUUUAACUCUGAAUGUUAGUGUCGUCUGAGUACUAUAAAAUAGUUAAAACUUUCAACAACGGAUCUCUUGGUUCUGGCAUCGAUGAAGAACGCAGCGAAAUGCGAUAAGUAAUGUGAAUUGCAGAAUUCAGUGAAUCAUCGAAUCUUUGAACGCACAUUGCGCCCCUUGGUAUUCCGGGGGGCAUGCCUGUUCGAGCGUCAUUAUAACCAAUCCAGCCCGGCUGGGUGUUGGGCCUCGCUGUCCCGGCGGGCCUUAAAACUAGUGGCGGUGCUCUUAAGCUCUACGCGUAGUAAUUUUCUCGCUAUAGGGUCUUGGGAGGUGCUAGCCAACAACCCUAAAUUUUUCAGG